GAAAAAAUAGAAAAAGAAAGCUAAAGAAAAACAUUCCGAUCUCCAUUUUUUUCUGUGAGAAAGGCGAUUACAAUGGAGAAAAUCGGAUUCAUGUUCUUUAACGGGAUAUCUGAUUCCAUGGGGCAAGAGUAUAUCGGCAUGUUUCCUUUACGAAUCUGGAACCAAACAUGCAGAAGAUGAGUGGUUGAUUUGUGUGGUCAGAAAAUAGAAAAAUUAAAAAGUCGAUCUUCUUUUUGCUCGGGUUAAAUAGGAGGUACUUUUUGGUGAGAAUUCUCAUGUCCACCAAAUGAAAUAUAUUGAAGGUGGACAAAAACACCUACGUGGAGUGAGAAAGGAAUUCGGAAACAUGUCUGCAAAAAUAUGAUAGAAGAAAAAAAAAUAUGCGGUCGAUGAUGCAAAGACACUUUCAGUAGAGAGCUAAGUAUUAUUUCAUAUAUCUUGUUAUUUCAUAUGGUCAAGAUCUUGAUUGAUCUGUUGUAUAGACUGAUAUAAUGUUCUAUAGUGACAGUUACAUUGAAACAAUGAUAUAAUGUUUUAUGUGCUUCUAUCUAUUGAUGACAUUCGCUUCUGUAAUGAUAUUGAACUUGCUAGUUAACGUUUUGUUUUAUUCUAUAUCUAUUGUAUACAGUAGUUAUGUUCUUGAGCUAUGAAUUGGUUGUAAGUAAUUGUUUAGUAUAAACAGCAUAGAACAAUCAGUUGCAUUCUAAUGUUUGGUGUCAUAGAUUCUAUUGUAUAGAAUUGCUUUUACCUUGCCAUACCCUUUUUGGAAUAAUAUUUUUUAUGAAUUAGAACUGAUUAUAUUAUGUUCUUCUCGUUUGGGUUAAUCAAGGUCACUAAAGUGGUGAGACGUGAGCUAACAGAAAUGAAGUUUCUCGUCAGCGGUGAACGAAACCCAAAAAAUCAAGGAAAACUGAUAUGGUGGUAAAGGAAAACGUGGUAUAUCUGGAAAACUGAUAUUUUAGUAUAGCGAUGUUAUAAUCUUGUUUCCUUCUUUGUAUUUCGUUUACUUUAAUUUAGGAAACAAUGACUACGUGAAAAA